rnacentral:rRNA from 1 species
GAUGAACGCUAGCGGCAGGCUUAAUACAUGCAAGUCGAGGGGCAGCACGAAUAGCAAUAUUUGGUGGCGACCGGCGCACGGGUGCGUAACACGUAUACAACCUACCUAUAACAGGGGGACAGCCUUUCGAAAGAGAGAUUAAUACCCCGUAAUAAAUUUGAUGGCAUCAUUAGAUUUUGAAAGCUCCGGCGGUUAUAGAUGGGUAUGCGUCUGAUUAGCUAGUUGGUGAGGUAACGGCUCACCAAGGCGACGAUCAGUAGGGGAUCUGAGAGGACUAACCCCCACACUGGUACUGAGACACGGACCAGACUCCUACGGGAGGCAGCAGUAAGGAAUAUUGGUCAAUGGAGGCAACUCUGAACCAGCCAUGCCGCGUGCAGGAUGACGGCCCUAUGGGUUGUAAACUGCUUUUGUACCAGAGAAAACCCCAGUACGUGUACUGGGUUGAUAGUAUGGUAAGAAUAAGCAUCGGCUAACUUCGUGCCAGCAGCCGCGGUAAAAC